rnacentral:rRNA from 1 species
AGAACGAACGCUGGCGGCAGGCUUAACACAUGCAAGUCGAACGCCCUCGCAAGGGGGAGUGGCAGACGGGUGAGUAACACGUGGGAACAUACCCUUCGGUUCGGAACAACGCCGGGAAACUGGCGCUAAUACCGGAUACGGCUUUUGAGCGAAAGAUUUAUCGCCGAAGGAUUGGCCCGCGUUCGAUUAGCUUGUUGGUGAGGUAACGGCUCACCAAGGCGACGAUCGAUAGCUGGUCUGAGAGGAUGGCCAGCCACAUUGGGACUGAGACACGGCCCAAACUCCUACGGGAGGCAGCAGUGGGGAAUAUUGGACAAUGGGCGCAAGCCUGAUCCAGCCAUGCCGCGUGAGUGAUGACGGCCUUAGGGUUGUAAAGCUCUUUCGCACGCGACGAUAAUGACGGUAGCGUGAGAAGAACGCCCGGCUAACUUCGCGCCAGCACGCCGC